GUGGGGACCCAUCUGGGUCUGUCCCAGUAGUGAGGGUCCAUGCCUACAAUGGUUAUAGGGGAUCCGUCCCCACUAUGGCAUCCAUCCUGACACAGACAUGGAGACCCACCUUCAUCAUGGCCAUAAAGGAUCUGCCCCAAAAGUGAGGAUCCAUCCCUACAAUGGUUAUAGGGGAUUUGUCCCCACUAUGGGUGAUUAUAGGGGAUCUGUCCCCACUAUGGGAUCCAAACUCACACAGCCAUGGAGACCCACCUUCAUCAUGGCCAUAAAGGAUCUGCCCCAAUAGUGAAGAUCCAUCCCUACAAUGGUUAUAGGGGAUCUGUCCCCACUAUGGGGUCCAUCCUGACACAGACAUGGAGACCCACCUUCAUCAUGGCCAUAAAGGAUCUGCCCC